rnacentral:rRNA from 1 species
AGUGUCCUUUACUUUCUGCCCUAAACACACCUAAUAUUUGACUUUGGAAACUAAGCAGGAUCAAGCCUGGUUACUAGUUGGAUGGGAGGUCACCAAAGAACACCAGGGAUUGGCAUAC